rnacentral:lncRNA from 1 species
CCUUGAAAGUUGUUUGACUUUAUUACUGCCACUUAUGAGCAAGAACUUUCCAAUACAAACAAAUAAAAAAAAUGAUCACGCUAAUUGCCUAUGCAAAUCAAUAUUAAGUGGAAGCUUAGGUUAACAUAUCUCCUGUAGCUUCUUUUUUCUUAACAGCUCAAUAGUAUUAUUAAAUAGCUCUCAACGAAUAAUACUUGAUUCUAAUAGAAUAAAAAUUUAAACAGUUUUCUGUUACCCUGUUCUUGUUCUUCACUUAUCAUAUCAUCAUCUUUCUGUUUUAGUAACUCAAUACAUAAGCAAAAAAACAAUUUCUCCCAAUUGCUAAGAGAAGAGAUAUAAAACUAAUUAAAUGACAGAUAAAGAAAAAAAAAAACUUUAAUUUCACAUACCGUUUGAUGGUUCACGGUAUUACCUUUAGGAAUUUUG